GACGAACGCUGGCGGCGUGCUUAAUACAUGCAAGUCGAACGGAAAGGCCCUGCUUUUGUGGGGUGCUCGAGUGGCGAACGGGUGAGUAUCACGUGAGUAUCCUGCCCCUGACUUUGUGAUAACUUCAGGAAACUGGGGCUAAUACCGGAUAGGAGCUCCUGCUGCAUGGUGGGGGUUGGAAAGUUUCGGCGGUUGGGGAUGGACUCGCGGCUUAUCAGCUGGUUGGUGGGGUAGUGGCGUACCAAGGCUUCGACGGGUAGCCGGCCUGAGAGGGUGGACGGCCACAUUGGGACUGAGAUACGGCGCAGACUCCUACGGGAGGCAGCAGGCGGGAAUAUUGCACAAUGGGCGGAAGCCUGAUGCAGCAACGCCGCGUGCGGGAUAACGGCCUUCGGGUUGUAAACCGCUUUCGCAUGUGACGAAGCGUGAGUGACGGUAAUGGGUAAAGAAGCACCGGCUAACUACGUG
rnacentral:rRNA from 1 species